CUUGAGCAUGGAGAAUUGGUGUUUCGGUCCAUGUUUAUAUAGGAUUUGGUUUCCUUCUAAACUGUUUUUUUUUUCUUUUUUUUUCUAAAAUAACACAAGUGUAGCAAGUUAUAUGGAACGAGGUUUUAGGAGUUUUAAUUAGAUUAUGUUUGCUUAAUUUGGAGUUAAGAGAAAUGAUAAUCCUAUAGUGUCAUAAACUUAUAUUUGAAUUUAUUCGACCAAAAAAAAUGUAUUUUCCACGUAAUCCAUCUUAACCAAAACAAUUUUUUUUUAUUAAUAUAAGAAAAAUAGAAAGAUGGAGCAAGGUUGCAACUUUCUAGGAUUACCAAAUGUAGAUUUUAU
rnacentral:lncRNA from 1 species